GGCUAGAACUUCCAGUACAAUGUUGAAAGUGGCCAAAGUGGGAACCCUUGUCUUGUUCCUAAUCAUAAGGGUAAAACUUUCAGUCUUUCACUAUUAUGUUAGCUGUGUUUCAUAAAUCCCUUAAUCUUGUUUAAAAAUUGCCUUCUGAGCUGGGUGCAGUGACUCAUGCCUGCACCCCGCCAUCUCUUUAAAAAAAAAAAAAAUUCCCUUCUACUCCUAAUUUGCUGGGUGUAUU
rnacentral:lncRNA from 1 species